AUUUUCUACAUAAAGCUAAUCUUUUCUGAUACCUCACAGCUUAACGUCAACCAUCCUUUAGCUCUUGUUAUCUAAUCCGGCAGAAGAAAAGAAGAGAAGUCUUGAAAAUGAGACUCGAUGUUCUUGUGUUAGUUAUUAUGGUGAUGAGUUCGUGCUUGGCUACAAGUAGGAGUGAGAAUAACGAGCAGCAGCCUAAUGGAGGUACCAGAACUAUGGAUAACCAUCAUCAUGUGAGUAGGCAGGAAUUCAAUAAUAAUAAUGGUGAUGGAGGUGCUACUCCUAAAGGAGAUAAUAUAGAUACUGGAAACAAUUAAGUUCUAACCCUAUAUAGUAGACUACUCUUAAAAUAAUGUAACAUAUUGAUAUGGUAUUUGUAAUAUGUAUAUGUGUUAGUGAAUGGGAAUAUGAUGUGGUCAAAGUUAAUCUCAAUGUUUGGCCUGGUGUAAAUUGAAUAUGGUAGUUAAUUAUGCUGCUGCUUUGGAUAAUAUUGUGAUGAAAGUUGUAGUAGGAGUUUAUGUUGAAA